rnacentral:tRNA from 2 species
GUCUCCGUAGUUAAGUGGAAUAAUAAGGCACUCCUAAGGCUUAGUCACAAGUUCGAUCCUUGUCGGAGACACCA